UUCCCUCUCUCUCAGUUUCUCUAUCUCCCUCUUUCCAUCUCCAUCUCUCUCUUGAACAGAAACCCCCAAACCCCAGCGAAAAUCGGUGGAAACUAAGACUCAACUGAUGCCACUGUUGCAAUGGAAAACUAAUGGCUGAUGGAAGUUGUUCAUUGGACUUCAUGAAACAAGGCGUUGCAUUUGACUUAAUGCCAGGUUCCAUGAUGAAGGGAAGAUGUUCGGUUUGCUGUGAACGACAUUUUGGUGACUGUGGAGAGCUUUCUAAACAGGAUGCAAAUAUUGAUGAUGAUCUGCACAGAGUGCAGCACAUAACGUACAAAAGAAAUUGUUCCUUGCUAUCAAAAUCCAGUAGAAUGUCUCAGAACUUCGUGUACGUAUACCAACGUAGAAAAGUCAAUAAGAAGUCUCCUUCAUUCUUCGAAAUUUUUUCAUCUGCCACUGCUAAAGCUAGUAAUGGUGGCCACUCUGCCUUCAGUUCUGAAGCUCCUCUGUUGGAUGCCAAAGAUUGUGCAGUUUCUGUUCCAGAGCGUGCGACAGAGGGUGUAAGAUCUCCUGUGCUGCAUCCAGUUGAAAACAGCAAAGUGGCUACAGCAUCCUCUAACGAGUUCCGUGCUGUGGAAGAAGCUGGUUCUGAAGAGGCCUUGACAAGUGAUGUAGACAGAAUUUUGAAUGAUUGCAAUGCUAAGGAUCAUUGUUCAUCAUCAAAAUCAUCUUUGGAACUUAGUUCACCUGUCCUGAAAGUUCAUACAGAUGAUGCAGGAGAGUGCUCCUCUUCUGGCACAGUGAUUACUGGGAAAGAGCCAGAAGAGAUUUCAGAAAGAGAUGCUUGCAUUUCAAUUCUUAGAAGUCAGGGAGUGCUCGAUAGAGUUUGGGUUAGAAGAGAUGGAGUGUCUAAUGAAAAAACUAACAAAUAUUGUUCCAAGUCGUGCAAGGUAUGUGAGCAGAGGGACAGCUCAAAAAACAUGCUGAUAUGUGAUAAUUGUGAAGAUGCAUUUCAUGCUUCUUGCUAUAAUCCUCGCAUAAAAAUAUUGCCACUUAGCGAGUGGCUUUGUAGCUCGUGUCUGAAAAAAAAGCAUAAAAUUUUGAACGAUAAAUCUGCAAGCAAUAAUCAGGAGAACACAGGCACAGAAACAGGCAUAAAUCGACAUUCAACAUGGGAAUUGGAACUGGGAUCCUUGGAGUUCAUGUUUACAGAUACUGAACCGUAUAUGUCCAACGUGCGAGUUGGCAAUGAAUUUCAAGCUGAUGUUCCUGAUUGGUGCGGCCCCGUUGAUGAGGAUUGCAAUUAUUUUGGCGAUGUAUUAGAAGUGCAUACUUCUAGUAACAUUGACACACAGGACAAGGACGCUAUCAAUUUUUUAAAGCACAGUCCUAUUGGUAAUUGGAUUCAGUGCCGUGAGGUCAUCGAAGGAGUUGGAGAAGGCAUUGAUGGAACUGUGUGUGGAAAAUGGCGCAGAGCCCCACUCAUUGAAGUCCAAACGGAUAACUGGGAAUGCUUUCGUUGCAUUCUUUGGGAUCCAACUCGUGCAGACUGUGCCGCACCCCAGGAACUAGAAACAGAAGAAGUAAUGAAGCAAUUGAAGUAUGUGGAGAUGUUGAGACCCCGGCUAGCUGCAAAAAAGUGCAAACUGGAGAAAUUGAAGGGAAGCUGCCCACGAGACCGUCGAGGUUUUGAAGAAAGGCGAAGAUGAUGGGAGGCGGCUAGGAAGUUGUAGAUGAGUAGAAGGCUGUUAGUUUUGAACCACAUAUCGAAAUGCAAAAUAUGCAUCGAAAGGUGGUUUUAGUGUUGAAAUUUCUGAUGAAUGGAAAGCCAUGUUGAUGAUCUGAUGAAUGGAAAUUCAGUGUUACUAGGGGCAUUUUGGUAAGAGUGGCUUAUAUGAUUUCAACUCUAGGAACAUAUAUGCAUUAAUUUUUUAUAAAAAAAUUGCAUUUUAUUAAGUAGAAUAAAUGAUAGCCUAAUAGUUUAUGACAAUACCAAUACGAAAUCCAAAUAAUAUACAACUAUUUCAUUUCAUGCAUUACAGUAAUUUAUAUCAUAACCAAUAAAAUGGAUACAAAUAAAACAGAAACUCCAUAGAAAGAAAAUAUGUGAUGCAAUAGUGUUUCUUGUAUCAGAGUAUGUAAACACACAUACACAGUUUCAGCACAAAUGGUUCAGUAUUCUUCAACUAACUCUAUACUCUUUUUGUUAUUUUUCACUUUAUUCACUUUACAAUGGUAUCAAUAGAGUAUAGAGAUUAAUAAGCAAGAGUGUUCUCUUGAUUAUCUUGACUCCAGUUUGACUUGAAAGUCAGUUUCUGGAGAGGCAAUGUACUCGGAGAAUAUUCAACAUCAAUCUUGUGCUUCAGCCAGUCAUUGUAUUGUCGAUGAGGACAGCUGGUGUCGUCUUUCAGCAUGUACUCGAGCAUCAUCGCCCACUCUGUUACCCCUUUUGGCACCACUGGAUUGUACAUCCCGGUAGCCUUCAUAUAUGAAGCUUGCUGUAGAACAGGUGAUAGCUGUUACUGUAAAGUUUGAUUUUGCAGUGUUCAAUUACGAGAUUAUGUUCUAUUUUCAGCUGCUUACCUGUAUGAAUUGUUAAAAUGCUCCUGUUUUUCCUUCUGCCUGUGUAUGUGUAAUGUAUUAAACAAUCUACCAUGAAUCAAAUCGGAUCUUAGUGAUUUUAAUAUCCAGUGUUUUGCUAAAACUUUGUUGGUGAAUGAUCAUUAUUGUUGAUUGCAUAUGUUUUUGUUCUGAUGUUUUUAUGGAUAUUCUGUUUUUUAUGCUGACUUUUAUGUUCAUGAGCCUUGUCUAUAGUGUGAGCCUCUUUAAGACGCGAAAUUCUUAUCCGACUUUCUUCUUCUAGGCAAAGAUAGCAUUGGACUGCCUUGAAGUGCCUGUGGGCACCAAAACUGCACAGAACAGUCAUCCCGCAGGUGUAGUUCUAUCCCUUGUCAAUUUCGGUUUUACUGCCAUGUGAAGAGAUAUUGUUCCUGCUAUCUCUAGUCGACUAGUUGAGCACAAAUCGGAGAAUCUCGAUGCCUUCUUCUCAUUGCUCAGCCUGCUGUGCAGAUUCUACAAUGCUGAUGGAGCAAGCUGACUAAGAACGUUAAUGUUUGCCAACCACAUUUAAUUUUGGUGAUUUUGCAGCAUUUAGUUUUAGGAUUUGAAUUGGGAAUCAAAUCUAUCAGACUCCAUCACUGCUAUGCUGGUUCUGACUCAAGUUUUGUUCUACAUAUUGUAAAUGCUUCUUGUCUGGAUCUCCAACUAACAACUUACAUUGUAACAUUUUAAUCUAUUUUUCCAUUAUAUUUACAUGGUCUCUGCCAAUUUAUUUGAUAUUUAA